rnacentral:rRNA from 1 species
GAAGUUCAACCAGAGUAUUAGUAGUUAUUUUCUUUAAAUUCAAAGAAUUUGGCGGUGUUUUAGUCCUCUUAGAGGAACCUGUUUUAUAAACGAUAAACCACGAAUAUCUUACCUAUUUUAAGUUUGUAUACCGUCAUUAUCAGAUAAUUUUGAUAAAAUAAAUUAUUAGAAUUAAUUUUAAUUAAGUAAAUUAGAUCAAGGUGCAGUUCAUAAAUAGGAAAUAAUGGGUUACAAUAAAAAUAAUUUACAACGAAUUUAUCACAUGAGAUUGUUUAAUGAAGGUGGAUUUAAUUGUAAUUUUAUUAAUUAUGAUAAUUUGAUAUAGG